UACGUAGGGGGCAAGCGUUGUCCGGAUUUAUUGGGCGUAAAGGGCGCGUAGGCGGUGCUUUAAGUUUGAAGUGACAGUGGGUGGCUUAACUACCCAAGGCCUUUGAAAACUGGAGCACUUGAGGACCAGAGAGGGACAUAGAAUUCCGGGUGGAGUGGUGAAAUGCGUAGAUAUCCGGAGGAAUACCAAAGGCGAAGGCAGUGUCCUGGAGGGUGACUGACGCUGAGGCGCGAAAGCUAGGGGAGCGAACAGG
rnacentral:rRNA from 1 species